rnacentral:tRNA from 1 species
UGGCUCAAUGGUAGAGCGUUCGACUCAAAUACCAAAGGUCGUGGGUUCAACUCCCAG